ACGGGAGGCAGCAGUGGGGAAUAUUGCACAAUGGGCGCAAGCCUGAUGCAGCGAUGCUGCGUGAGGGAAGAAGGUUUUCGGAUUGUAAACCUCUGUCAUAAGGGACGAAAAAAGACGGUACCUUAGAAGGAAGCUCCGGCUAACUACGUGCCAGCAGCCGCGGUAAUACGUAGGGAGCAAGCGUUAUCCGGAAUUACUGGGUGUAAAGGGAGUGUAGGCGGGACUGUAAGUCAGGUGUGAAAUAUGCCGGCUCAACUGGCAGACUGCAUUUGAAACUGCGGUUCUUGAGUGAAGUAGAGGUAAGCGGAAUUCCUAGUGUAGCGGUGAAAUGCGUAGAUAUUAGGAGGAACACCAGUGGCGAAGGCGGCUUACUGGACUGUAACUGACGUUGAGGCUCGAAAGCGUGGGGAGCAAACAGGAUUAGAUACCCUGGUA
rnacentral:rRNA from 1 species